CCUCUGUGGCAGCAGCAGCAGCUAUUUCCUGAGCACCUACCCUGCAGGGCACUCUUUAUGGAUUAGUUCAUUUAACUGUCUCCAUAGUCUGUCGGUCAGUGGGUACUAUUGUUAACCCAUCAUAUAGCUGAUGGACCUGAGGCCCACAGAAGAUCUGUGACUUGCCCAAGGUCACACAGUGAGCUGGUGACCCGGCUGGAUUGCCUGCACCAACAAUCUGGCUCCAGUGCCUUUGUUCCUAACCUCUGCUCACUUUCAGAAGGAAUAUACUUCUCGAGGCCCCAUUGUGGGCCAGGUGCAUGCACUUCUGUUACUGAAGGAGGUCCUUGUUCUAAGGCCAGGUAAAUCGAAGCUCAGAGAUACCAAGAGACCUGCCCAAAGUGGGUAAGUGGGGAAGCCAGUUUCAAGCCCCAGCAUGUGCAGCAGCAAAUCUCAUAUUCUGGCCAGGGCUCUAGUCCUGAGUCCUUCUAGGAGGGGGAAGGUAGCCUGAGGCCACCAGCUGAAUGAAUGAGCUCUGGCCCCCAGCCAGCUGAGGGGAACUGGGUGCCACAGGAAAAGGAUGUGACGAAGAUCAGGAGGGAAAGUGAAACCCUUCCGUCCUGGCUUCAGUGGGGAACAAGCGCCUGUGCCAGACGGGCUCUUCCUUCCUCUAGGGUGACUCUGAAGGGCCCAGGCCCACCGCUUCCUUCCUGCUUGGUUAUUUCGAGAAAGAGGCCACUUCUUCAAGGAGGCCUCCUGCUCUCUGCCUCCAAGUCUCCUUUCAGCUCUCUCGUCAGUUUGCUGAGCUGCUCAUUGUUGACCAUGAGCUCUAUCCCCCAGGCCUAGCCCGUGCUGGGCCCAGAGAAGGUGGUACUCUAUGGUCCAAAGCAGCCACUCCCUCCUCCUUUCUGCCCCAAGUGUCCCCACUCCCUCGUCUGGUGCUGAUCAACGCUACACGCUGUGAAGAAAAGAGCACUGGCUGAGAAGUCAGCAAACGUGGGUUUUGAGUCCCAGCUCUAUCACUGGCUUGCUUGGGGUGAAUCCAAUCCCCUGUCUGGGAUGCUGGGAAAGUCUGCGACUUUCUCCACCUGUAAAAUGAAGGGGAUCAUCUCAAAGGGCUCCUACUAGUGCUGUAGCAUGAGGAGGAUGAAAGUAACUCGCACAUGGACAAAUGAGUGACAACUUGGGUUCUCUCUCUCAGGGGUAUCCAAAAGAUCCAGUAAUUAGUGUGGAAGGUGAGAGGUGACAUUCUGGAGUAGAAGGACUUGUCACGAAAGGGUCUGAUCCUCCUCCACCUCAAAACCUGCUGAGCCUUGCCCUCAAACCUGCAGGAUUCCAGGGGGAAAAGGGCAAUGGGUACAUCUGUGACCCAGGGCAAGCUCCUCAGAGAGGCCAGACCUUGCUGGGCUCUGCCCCUAUGGCCUCAACCUCCUCAACCCCAGCACCGCCUCCAACUAGUCCAGACAAGUCCCGGGUAUUUUCAGCCACCUUUAUCUGAUCGGAAAUGUUUGGAAUUCCACAGAAGGCAACAGCUCUGGAGGAUUUGGGGACAGGAGCAAAUCCUUGCAACACCCUUCCCUCCCACUGUACAUGUGAAUGCUCUCACACACACCCCUUGUAACCAAAAACUCAGCUGAAGGCUCCCACGGGGUUGCAUUUCCUACAUUCCGGUUCCUUCUACUCUUCUCCUGGUUCAUCUCCACCCCAGUCCACCAGCCCCCUCAAGGUGCAGAAUAGCAAGAUGCCUGAGAUGAUGCCAGGAGAGCUGGAGGACUCUGUAGCUGAUGAUGCCCAAGGAGGUGCCACCUGGAGGUUUGCUGUUCACAGUCAACACCCAGAGCACCAAUGAACUGCAGAAGACCACCACCACCAUCAGCACAAGGAGCCCCAAAAGCAACUCACUGUCCCACCUGAUGUGGCAUGCGGACCACCCAGAAAUCAUGUGUCAUGAUCUGUGGUUCACAGAGCAGUUCAACCCCUCUCCCUGAACAGAUGGGAAACUGAGACCCACAAGAGGUGAAGGGACUCCCCUGCAAGGCCUCCUGACCCCAGAGUCCGGCAGUGUGGGUUCUGACCCAGCUCUAUGACUGUCUACUUGUGGGACCUGGGGCAAGACCCUUUACUUCUCCAAGCCCGGAGUCCUGUCUGUAAAGUGAGAACACUAUUUCUAUCACAGGCUUGGCAGCAAGAAUUAAAUGAUCCAUGGAAAGUGCUCAAGAAAUGUUAGCUGUUAUUAUUUUUUAUAGCUAAAAAUGAGUGGCCCUAUUUGUGCUUCUCAUGGUGUAUCUCAUUAUUUGUAGCUACAAACAAAAAAAUAACAGCUAAUGUUUACUGAGCCCCUGCUUGCAUUCUCAAAAUCUUGCAAGUAGGUGUUGUCCCCAUUCUACCAAUGAGGAAACUAAGACUCAGAAAGGCGAUGAGACUUUGCCUGAGAUCACCACUGACCAAGCGAGGGUGUGUGACUCCACCGCACGUUGCAUUUGCCAGUGCAACGGGACAGACGCAGAGGGAUGUUACCAAACCCUUCCUUCCCACUUUGCACCACCCACCCGCCCACUAUUUACUGAGGAUCUGCUAUUCUUGGGCCCUGGAAGUCAGAAAUGACUUUGAAGGCAGGGAAGAGGCAUGCCCCCUGGUUCCCUGGGUACCUUGGGGGUGGGAAAGGAAGAGGUGUGCUGACGGCUGCUCUGUGCUUCCUCCCUACGCCCAACACAGCCCUUGCAAGGCCAGUCCUUGCAGACACAGUCCCUCCCUGUAUCUGGUCAUUGUCUUGGAAACAAAAGUGAUGACAAGUAGCUUCGGUGGAGCUGUUAGCUGAGUUUUCUAAGACAGACUGUGACCCCUUUGUGGGCCUGACCUGUGGGGUUGCAGGAAGGACCAGACAAGCUGCCCUGCUUAGCUCUGGACACUCAUUCAUUCCUUAAAUCUUUAUUAAGUGCCCACUAAAUGCCAGGCACUAUGCUAAGUGCUUGGGAUAAAGCCGUGACUAAAUCAGAUGAAAAUUCCUACCUGCAUGAGUUUACAAUUGAAUGGGAAGAGAUAGGCAAUAAAUAAAUGCCACAGAUGGUGGUAAGUGCUAAAAAGAAAAAUAAAUGAGAGAAAAGAGUUAGAGAGAAACAUGCAAGAGGGAAA